rnacentral:rRNA from 1 species
GACGAACGCUGGCGGCGUGCUUAACACAUGCAAGUCGAACGGAAAGGCCCUGCUUUUGUGGGGUGCUCGAGUGGCGAACGGGUGAGUAACACGUGAGUAACCUGCCCUUGACUUUGGGAUAACUUCAGGAAACUGGGGCUAAUACCGGAUAGGAGCUCCUGCUGCAUGGUGGGGGUUGGAAAGUUUCGGCGGUUGGGGAUGGACUGGCGGCUUAUCAGCUUGUUGGUGGGGUAGUGGCUUACCAAGGCUUUGACGGGUAGCCGGCCUGAGAGGGUGACCGGCGACAAUGGGACUGAGGGACGGCCCAGACUCCUACGGGGGGCAAUAGGGGGGAAUAUUACACAGUGGGCGGGAGCCUGAUGCGACAACGCCGCGUGCGGGAUGACGGCCUUCGGGGUGUGAACCGCUUUCGCCUGUGACGAAGCGUUAGUGACGGUAAUGAGUAAAGAAGCACCGGCUAACUACGUG